GCCGGGAUGGCGGAAUCGGUAGACGCAGCGGACUCAAAAUCCGCCGCCAGUGAUGGUGUGGGGGUUCGACUCCCCCUCCCGGCACCA
rnacentral:tRNA from 1 species